rnacentral:rRNA from 1 species
GUGUCAGCAGCCGCGGUAAUACGAAGGGGGCGAGCGUUGUUCGGAUUUACUGGGCGUAAAGGGCGCGCAGGCGGCGAGUUUUGUCAGGCGUGAAAGCCCCGGGCUCAACCUGGGAACUGCGCUUGAAACGGGCUUGCUAGAGAUCGGGAGAGGAGAGUGGAAUUCCCAGUGUAGAGGUGAAAUUCGUAGAUAUUGGGAAGAACACCAGUGGCGAAGGCGGCUCUCUGGACCGACACUGACGCUGAGGCGCGAAAGCGUGGGGAGCAAACAGGAUUAGAUACCCUGGUAGUCC